rnacentral:tRNA from 1 species
GCCGGGGUGGCCGAGAGGUCAAGGCGUCGGUUCCACUCGUGAGGUGUGGAGGCGAGGCUGCAGUGGCUAGAGAAAUUUACCAGCCCUGGUAACCCGAUAUUUCCCGGGUUCGAGUCCCGGCCCCGGCU